UACAGAGGGUGCGAGCGUUGUCCGGAAUCACUGGGCGUAAAGGGCGCGUAGGCGGCGCGGUAAGCGUGCGGUGAAAGCCCGGGGCUCAACCCCGGGUCGGCCGUGCGGACUGCCGGGCUCGAGCACUGUAGAGGCAGGUGGAAUUCCGGGUGUAGCGGUGGAAUGCGUAGAGAUCCGGAAGAACACCGGUGGCGAAGGCGGCCUGCUGGGCAGUGGCUGACGCUGAGGCGCGACAGCGUGGGGAGCAAACAGG
rnacentral:rRNA from 1 species